rnacentral:rRNA from 1 species
AACAUUGCCCUCAGUAAUAGAGAUUGAGGGUACGUCCUGCCCAGUGACAUGCGUGUUCAACGGCCGCGGUACCCUAACCGUGCAAAGGUAGCAUAAUCACUCGCCUUUUAAUUGGAGGCUAGUAUGAAUGGAUAAACGAAAGUUUCCCUGUCUCCUUUACGCCUAUAAAAAUUAACCUUUGAGUGAAGAUGCUCAAAUGAAAAUGAGUGACAAGAAGACCCUGUCGAGCUUUACCUCUCAGCGAGGCACCAGUAAGCUCCACGAGAAACUGCAACCUAGCCCCAGGUUAUGUUGGGGCGACAAAGGGAUAAAACAAUCUCCCUAUAUAAAAGAAGACCUAUCAGUCCUUCUGCUGACCCUACCAAGAUCACAAGCACAAGCUACCGCAGGGAUAACAGGCUAAUUCUCCUCGAGAGCCCACAUUAACAGGAGAGUUUGGCACCUCGAUGUUGGCUUGGGGCCACUUAUAAGGUGCAGAAGCCUAAUAAGUAAGUUUGUUCAACUUUUAAUCCCCCACGUGAU